CUUUUUUCUUUUUGUCUGUUAGUCCGUUGGCACAGAAAUAUAUAUUAUAUAUAAAAAAAUUAGCUCUCUUCCACCAUGGAAUUUGGAAACAUACAAAAAAUUCUUUGGUUACAGGUUUAAUCAGGUUAAAAGGAAGAUAUUUCUAAACGAGGGAAAUGAUUUCCUUUUAAUGUCCAUCUUAGUAAAGGCUUCAUCAAACCCUUGCUAACCUAACCCUCCCACCAAGCUUGUUUGGUUUGUACAUUUCCUGAGCUUUGAGGAAACUGAAUCAGUCACUGAAACGUGUCAGUGCCAUGGCUGUGCGUCUCAUGAACUGGCUGUUUUAUCUUCUCAGCUUUUUCAACAUCUGGCAUGAUGUAAGGGGACAGAAGAGGAUUCUGGAGUUGCAGCAUGGUGACACCUUUUCCAUUGAUUGCUCAGACACCUUGCAGGGAAGGACUGAAUUGUACCUGUACAGAAGAUUGUCUGAGAAAACAUUGGUCCUCUUCUGGAAUGCCACGAACGAUGAACUGACAGUAACCACCACAUUCAGACACAGAGCAAAUUUGGAGCGCAACUAUGAAAACUUAAGUUUCAACCUUCAUCACAUGAUGGAAAAUGAUUCGGGAGUGUACUGGUGUACCAGUGGACUUGACGGGAAACGGAGCAACAGGUCUGCAGCACUGGUCGUGGUCAGUGGUGAUGCGCCAUGUGGUACAACCGGCCUGACUGAUGGAGAAAACGCAGGUGAGGACAGUUUUGGAUUAUCUGUCUUCUACGUGACCAUUGGGCUGUCAGUGGCUACUGCCCUCCUGUGUGUGACCAUUAUUGUGUUCUUUCUCAUUCCAAAAAUGAAGAAGAGCUGUGAAAGGGCAAAUGCAGAGACCGCACCCACUGACUUCAUUUAUGAAGACAUGCAGAGAUGUCACAGGUCCAUGUAGAGGUGGUUGCCCAUCUUACCGGGACUCAAGAACAGGCAUACACAUCUCAAUGUUCCAUUAGUCUAAGUAAAGGUGUGGGUGGGGGGGAUCCCUAUGCCUGUAGAACAGAACAAUUUUCUGUUGUUUUUCAUUCACUUUAAAAAUGUAAUAUCAAUCUCACAGAUAUGUAUUUUAUUUGCUUACUUCCAAUUAUAUUUAGAGUUAGUGCUACGGUAAGUGUAAUUUAACAACAUUUUUGACUACACACCUCUGGAGAGAAUGUACUGUAGCAUUGUUUCUACAGUAUUAUGAUUUUAUUUUAUGUCAUCUAUAGAAUUUGACUGGGUCUCUUGCACAGGUCACAUUUUAUAACAUGGUGUGUUCUUGCUGUCAUCUUCAAUUUAAAAAUUGUUAAUGUGAUUUGUAUAUAAAAGUGCACUCUUCUGUACCAGAGAAUUUUUAUCACUUCGGGGUAACAUUUUUUCAGAUCAAAUUUUGCAAAAGUGAUCCAUUGUUCUCUGAAUAUUUAGUCCAUCUUUACAUAACUGAAUGUUUA
rnacentral:lncRNA from 1 species